AGCCACUGAUAUAGAGCAGUUACUUCACCCAUCACUGAAAUGCAGCAGCCCCAGGGAUGGAAGUUGGCAGUACUCUUCAAUCAGUGUACACCAAUAAUAUAUAAUACUUCUGGACACAGAACAAUGCUUUCCCCUGAAGGAGACUAUUGGAGUAUUGGAUAUCUGAAGGUGAGGACAAAUACUGGAAUCCAUGCUAAGGUCUUUCUACUGCAUAUAACUGGGAUCGCUUUAGUGGAGGGUGGUAAAACCACACU